GACGGGGCCCGCACAAGCGGAGGAGCAUGUGGUUUAAUUCGAUGAUACGCGAGGAACCUUACCUGGGCUCGAACGUAAGAUGACUGUAGGUGAAAGCUUACAUCUCUUCGGAGCAUUUUACGAGGUGCUGCAUGGUUGUCGUCAGCUCGUGCCGUGAGGUGUCGGGUUAAGUCCCAUAACGAGCGCAACCCCUACCUUUAGUUGCCAUCAGGUUAAGCUGGGGACUCUAAAGGAACUGCCUACGCAAGUAGUGAGGAAGGCGGGGAUGACGUCAAAUCAGCACGGCCCUUACGUCCAGGGCUACACACGUGCUACAAUGGCCGAUACAGAGGGCAGCUACCUGGUGACAGGAUGCAAAUCUCCAAAGUCGGUCUCAGUUCGGAUCGGAGUCUGCAACCCGACUCCGUGAAGUUGGAUUCGCUAGUAAUCGCGCAUCAGCCAUGGCGCGGUGAAUACGUUCCCGGGCCUU
rnacentral:rRNA from 1 species